AACACGUAUCCAACCUGCCGUCUACUCUUGGACAGCCUUCUGAAAGGAAGAUUAAUACAAGAUGGCAUCAUGAGUCCGCAUGUUCACAUGAUUAAAGGUAUUCCGGUAGACGAUGGGGAUGCGUUCCAUUAGAUAGUAGGCGGGGUAACGGCCCACCUAGUCUUCGAUGGAUAGGGGUUCUGAGAGGAAGGUCCCCCACAUUGGAACUGAGACACGGUCCAA
rnacentral:rRNA from 1 species